GACAAACGCUGGCGGGGUGCGUGAGACAUGCAAGUCGAACGGGGUUUCAUGGGGCUUGCUCUGUGAAACCUAGUGGCGGACGGCUGAGUAACGCGUAGGUGACCUGCCCGGAAGUGGGGAAUAACUGCCCGAAAGGGUGGCUAAUACCGCAUGUGGUCGUCGAAUCAGUUCGCCGACUAAAGGAGUAAUCCGCUUCCGGAGGGGCCUGCGUCCGAUUAGCUAGUUGGUGAGGUAACGGCCCACCAAGGCGACGAUCGGUAGCUGGUCUGAGAGGAUGAUCAGCCAGACUGGGACUGAGAACGGCCCAGACACCUACGGGUGGCUG
rnacentral:rRNA from 1 species